ACGCUGGCGGCGUGCCUAAUACAUGCAAGUAGAACGCUGAAGGAGGAGCUUGCUUCUCCGGAUGAGUUGCGAACGGGUGAGUAACGCGUAGGUAACCUGCCUGGUAGCGGGGGAUAACUAUUGGAAACGAUAGCUAAUACCGCAUAAGAGUAGAUGUUGCAUGACAUUUGCUUAAAAGGUGCAAUUGCAUCACUACCAGAUGGACCUGCGUUGUAUUAGCUAGUUGGUGGGGUAACGGCUCACCAAGGCGACGAUACAUAGCCGACCUGAGAGGGUGAUCGGCCACACUGGGACUGAGACACGGCCCAGACUCCUACGGGAGGCAGCAGUAGGGAAUCUUCGGCAAUGGACGGAAGUCUGACCGAGCAACGCCGCGUGAGUGAAGAAGGUUUUCGGAUCGUAAAGCUCUGUUGUAAGAGAAGAACGAGUGUGAGAGUGGAAAGUUCACACUGUGACGGUAUCUUACCAGAAAGGGACGGCUAACUACGUGCCAGCAGCCGCGGUAAUACGUAGGUCCCGAGCGUUGUCCGGAUUUAUUGGGCGUAAAGCGAGCGCAGGCGGUUAGAUAAGUCUGAAGUUAAAGGCUGUGGCUUAACCAUAGUACGCUUUGGAAACUGUUUAACUUGAGUGCAAGAGGGGAGAGUGGAAUUCCAUGUGUAGCGGUGAAAUGCGUAGAUAUAUGGAGGAACACCGGUGGCGAAAGCGGCUCUCUGGCUUGUAACUGACGCUGAGGCUCGAAAGCGUGGGGAACAAACAGGAUUAGAUACCCUGGUAGUCCACGCCGUAAACGAUGAGUGCUAGGUGUUAGACCCUUUCCGGGGUUUAGUGCCGCAGCUAACGCAUUAAGCACUCCGCCUGGGGAGUACGACCGCAAGGUUGAAACUCAAAGGAAUUGACGGGGGCCCG
rnacentral:rRNA from 1 species